CAUAGUGAUCCGGUGGUUCUGUAUGGAAGGGCCAUCGCUCAACGGAUAAAAGGUACUCCGGGGAUAACAGGCUGAUACCGCCCAAGAGUUCAUAUCGACGGCGGUGUUUGGCACCUCGAUGUCGGCUCAUCACAUCCUGGGGCUGAAGUCGGUCCCAAGGGUAUGGCUGUUCGCCAUUUAAAGUGGUACGCGAGCUGGGUUUAGAACGUCGUGAGACAGUUCGGUCCCUAUCUGCCGUGGGCGUUGGAAGAUUGAAGGGGGCUGCUCCUAGUACGAGAGGACCGGAGUGGACGAACCUCUGGUGUUCGGGUUGUCAUGCCAAUGGCAUUGCCCGGUAGCUAAGUUCGGAAUCGAUAACCGCUGAAAGCAUCUAAGCGGGAAGCGAGCCCUGAGAUGAGUCUUCCCUGACCCCUUGAGGGUCCUAAAGGGUUGUUCGAGACUAGAACGUUGAUAGGCAGGGUGUGUAAGCGUUGUGAGGCGUUGAGCUAACCUGUACUAAUUGCCCGUGAGGCUUAACCAU
rnacentral:rRNA from 1 species